UACGUAGGGGGCUAGCGUUGUCCGGAAUUAUUGGGCGUAAAGAGCUCGUAGGUGGUUUGUUACGUCUGCUGUGAAAACCUAGGGCUUAACCCUGGGCUUGCAGUGGAUACGGGCAGACUAGAGGUAGGUAGGGGAGAAUGGAAUUCCUGGUGUAGCGGUGAAAUGCGCAGAUAUCAGGAGGAACACCAAUGGCGAAGGCAGCUCGCUGGGACGGUACUGACACUGAGACGCGAAAGCGUGGGGAGCAAACAGG
rnacentral:rRNA from 1 species